GACGAACGCUGGCGGCGUGCUUAACACAUGCAAGUCGAACGGAAAGGCCUGCUUUCCCUUGUGUGUUGCGGUUACUCGCGUGGCGAACGGGUGAGUAACACGUGCGUUAUCUUCCCCCAACUUUUGUAUAAGCCUGGGCAACUGGGUCUAAUUCCCUCUAGGACUGCAGGGUGGUUCCUGUGGUGGAAAACGAUUUUCUAGUGGUUGGGGAUGAGCUCGUGGCCUAUCAGCUUGUUGGUGGGGUAAUGGCCUACGAAGGCGGCGAAGGGUAGCCGGCCUGGGAGAGUGGACGGGCACAGUGGGACUGAGAUACGGCGCAGAAGACAACGGGAGGCAGCAGUGGGGAAGAAGGAGCAAGGGGCAGAAGACUGAUGGAGCGAGGCCGAGGGGGGGAUGACGGGCGUGGGAUUGUGAACUCCUUGCGACCGAGAGGAAGCGACCUGGAUGGAAGGGGGGUGACGGUAGUGGUAGAAGAAGCACCGGCUAACUACGUG
rnacentral:rRNA from 1 species